rnacentral:tRNA from 1 species
GGGGUUGUAGCUCAGUGGUUGAGCGCUUGCUUUGCUUGCAUGAGGCACUAGGUUCAAUCCUCAGCACCA